GGCAAAAGGAAACAGCAACUCUUAC
rnacentral:piRNA from 1 species